AAACUUUCAACAACGGAUCUCUAGGCUCUUGCAUCGAUGAAGAACGCAGUGAAAUGCGAUAAGUAAUGUGAAUUGCAGAAUCUCGUGAAUCAUCAAAUCUUUGAACGCACAUUGCGCCCUAUGGUAUUCCGUAGGGCAUGCCUGUCUGAGCGUCA
rnacentral:rRNA from 1 species